AUCAGUAAAACACAUAUCACACUGAGUAAAACAUAAAUCCUACCCUCCUCUAGAAGUCCGACACCCCGGAUUCCACCGGACGACAGGAAUUCCGAUGCCGGAUUCUAGCCGGGUAUUACAUUCUCUCCCCCUUAAAAAACAUUCGUCCUCGAAUGAUUCGAAAACAAAUAAUACAUAAACUGGAGGAAACGAACCUCAAAACAAGUAUGGAUACUGCUGGAGCAUAGACUCCCGCGUCUCCCAGGUGCACUCUUCUAGAUUAUGGUGGUUCCAUAGAACUUUCACCAUCGGAAUCUCCUUGUUCCUUAGCUGUCUGAUCUGUGUGUCCAGAAUCCGCACUGGCUGCUCUAUAUAGGUGAGAUCUGUAUGAAUCUCCACCUCAGGCUCA
rnacentral:lncRNA from 1 species